CUUUUAGGCGUUGUAGUAUUGCCCUUGGGCCCUCGGCUCGUAUGGGUAGUCUUACAGGUAUGGGGUCACGCACCCCCAACCAUGUAACACACACACACAUGCACACACACACACACACACACACACACUCCCUCUUAGCAUCCGGUGUGUGCUGCGGCCAGCUUUGCCGCAGUGUGCUUGCUAAUUGGUGGAUGAUGACAUCGCCGCCUACAGCGAUAUGGUCAAAAAUCGCAACCAAGACUGGUGGAGUGUUUUCACACUGCUGCACAAUGCUGGCCUGAA
rnacentral:lncRNA from 1 species